rnacentral:rRNA from 1 species
UGCCAGCCGCCGCGGUAAUACGGAGGGAGCGAGCGUUAUCCGGAAUUAUUGGGCGUAAAGCGUGCGUAGGCGGUUCGUUAAGUCAAAUCUGAAAGCCCACAGCUUAACUGUGGAGGGUGAUUUGAAACUGGCGAGCUUGAGUACGGCAGAGGUUAGUGGAAUUCAAUGUGUAGCGGUGGAAUGCGUAGAUAUAUUGAGGAACACCAGUGGCGAAGGCGGCUAACUGGACCGGAACUGACGCUGAGGUACGAAAGCGUGGGGAGCGAACAGGAUUAGAU